rnacentral:rRNA from 1 species
GCGCGAAAACUUUACAAUGCUGGCAACAGCGAUAAGGGAACCUCGAGUGCCAGGUUACAAAUCUGGCUGUCGAGAUGCCUAAAAAGCAUUUCAUAGCAAGGGCCGGGCAAGACCGGUGCCAGCCGCCGCGGUAACACCGGCGGCUCGAGUGGUAACCGUUAUUAUUGGGUCUAAAGGGUCUGUAGCCGGCCGGAUAAGUCUCUUGGGAAAUCUGGCAGCUUAACUGUCAGGCUUUCAGGAGAUACUGUUCGGCUCGAGGCCGGGAGAGGUGAGAGGUACUUCAGGGGUAGGGGUGAAAUCUUGUAAUCCUUGAAGGACCACCAGUGGCGAAGGCGUCUCACCAGAACGGACCUGACGGCAAGGGACGAAAGCUAGGGGCACGAACC